UACGUAGGUCCCGAGCGUUGUCCGAAUUUAUUGGGCGUAAAGCGAGCGCAGGUGGUUUAUUAAGUCUGGUGUAAAAGGCAGUAGCUCAACCAUUGUAUGCAUUGGAAACUGGUAGACUUGAGUGCAGGAGAGGAGAGUGGAAUUCCAUGUGUAGCGGUGAAAUGCGUAGAUAUAUGGAGGAACACCGGUGGCGAAAGCGGCUCUCUGACCUGUAACUGACACUGAGGCUCGAAAGCGUGGGGAGCAAACAGG
rnacentral:rRNA from 1 species